CACUACAUCCUGAGAUUUGUUCCUCAGCACUGAGUGGAGAACUGUAAUAAUCAAUUGGGAAAUUAAUGGAAUCUCAAUCUGUUUCUAAAGUCCCUAAAGAAGGAACUUGAACAACGAAAAACAGUGGAUUAGACACAGAUGCAGAAGAUUACUGUUCUACCUGUUCAGAUUCAGAUU
rnacentral:lncRNA from 1 species